rnacentral:rRNA from 1 species
GAUGAACGCUAGCUACAGGCUUAACACAUGCAAGUCGAGGGGUAACGAGAGGAAAGCUUGCUUUCCUUGUCGACGACCGGCGCACGGGUGAGUAACGCGUAUCCAACCUGCCCCCAACUAGGGAAUAACCUUGCGAAAGUAAGACUAAUACCCUAUAAUUUCCUCAGAUGUCAUCUGACGAGGAAUAAAGAUUUAUCGGUUGUGGAUGGGGAUGCGUCUGAUUAGCUUGUUGGCGGGGUAACGGCCCACCAAGGCAACGAUCAGUAGGGGUUCUGAGAGGAAGGUCCCCCACAUUGGAACUGAGACACGGUCCAAACUCCUACGGGAGGCAGCAGUGAGGAAUAUUGGUCAAUGGGCGGAAGCCUGAACCAGCCAAGUAGCGUGCAGGAUGACGGCCCUAUGGGUUGUAAACUGCUUUUAUACAGGAAUAAAGUUAGCCACGUGUGGUUAUUUGUAGGUACUGUAGGAAUAAGGACCGGCUAUUUCCGUGCCAGCCGCCGCGGUAA